AUGUGUGUGCAUGCCUGUGUGUUUGUACAGAUCUGUAUAGAGAGAUAAAUACUCACACACACACACACACACACACACACACACACGC
rnacentral:miRNA from 1 species